rnacentral:lncRNA from 13 species
GUAACUUUUACUUUUAGAAUUGAAGUUAGAAAUAUCCUUUAAAGUUCAUCUGGACCUGCUCAGAGUUCUAAAGCAGUGACAAGAUGGUCUUGUACCAGUGAAGAUCUGUACCAGUGGCAAUAGCCUGUUUCCUCCCAAAAUCCUUCAGUAUAAGACUGUAAAGAGCAUUAGUAGAAAGAAGAAUACCUAAUUUCUACUCGCUGAUGUAAUCUUCAUCUUCAUGUGAAGAGCACAAAGAUGACUUCGUGUUGCCACAAGAGUGUUCCCAUCACAUCUCUCAAGGGAUGAUAAAGUCAUUGAAAGGCCUUGUUCCUGCUCCUGCUCGAAGCAUGAGAAGAAAGCAAACAGCAAUUUACCGUUCUUCUUGUUCUUCUACCUAUUAGAAGGUAAACCGGGCCAGACCUUGGCGCCAUAGAAGAGAGUCUCCUUUAAAAACUGUCAGGAGUUUCCCUGACAAAUGAACACUUGCAAUCGGAUCUCCCUGCUUUAGUAAUAGUGAGUCCAGAUGGCUGCUUCUAGAGGAAGCAAGAAUUUCCGGCUCCACAAUGGUGUGGUCACGGAGCCCUUCCCCCA